rnacentral:rRNA from 1 species
AUUGAACGCUGGCGGCAUGCCUAACACAUGCAAGUCGAACGGCAGCACAGUAAAGACUUCGGUCUUUAUGGGUGGCGAGUGGCGGACGGGUGAGUAACGCGUAGGAAUCUGUCCUGGAGAGUGGGAUAACCCGAGGAAACUCGGGCUAAUACCGCAUGAUAUCGAGAGAUCAAAGGCAGGGGACCCUUCGGGGCCUUGCGCUCUAGGUUGAGCCUACGUCGGAUUAGCUAGUUGGUGGGGUAAAGGCCUACCAAGGCGGCGAUCCGUAGCUGGUAUGAGAGGAUGACCAGCGAAAGUGGGACGGAGACACGGCCCAGACGCCUACGGGAGGCAACAGUGGGGAAUCUUGGACAAUGGUGUGCACCCUGAUCCAGCGAUGCCGCGUGUGUGAAGAAGGCCUUCGGGUUGUAAAGCACUUUAGGUGGGGAAGAAAGGUAAUGAGUGAAUAACUGAUUGCUUUGACGGUACCCGCAGAAUAAGCACCGGCUAACUCUGUGCCAGCCGCCGCCGUAA